AGUACCGUGAGGGAAAGUUGAAAAGAACUUUGAAGAGAGAGUUCAAUAGUACGUGAAACCUCUCGGGGGUAAGCGGGCAGAACUUGCAAGUAUUGGUGAGGAGAUUCAGGCUUAGUGUUGGUGACUGAGAGUAUGAAUUAAGUUGUUUGUUCGCAAACGGACUGAUGUGUGCUCUUUGUUUUGCUGAUAAUGCGCCGCAUUUCUUUUUACCAUCCGGGUUGCAUGCAACUGAGUUGGCAAUUUAGGUGCUGGGUGUCUGCGUGUCCUUGUGGCAUAGCCCUGGUUUUCCAAUUGCUCAUGCGGUUGUUGAAAGCGAACAGGCGUUUGUCGCGGUCAAUAUUUUUCACGAGUAGGGUUUGUAUAGUAUAUGGAUGGGUAACCAUAGUAUAUUGUACCGACUGAUUGUCAGUGAGAGAUAUUUUGGCUCUGUUCAGUAUUGCA
rnacentral:rRNA from 1 species